AAGGUCCAGCGGUCCCCCUGCUCAUUUGCCUUCACCCGAUGUCCAGCAGUGAUGAGCCACCUCUCUCCAGCAAAGAGAAAGCCAGAAUGUCCUGCUCACACAAUUGAAGAUGUCAAGAUCUUGUUUCCAGAGCACGCGCAAGAGAGCACAGACAUGAGCAGGGAAGAGGGACAGAGGGAAAGAGAGAGAGAAUCUUAACCAGACCCCAUGCUCAGCAUUGAAUCUGAUGCAGGGAUCGAUCCCAGGACCCUGAGAUCAUGACCUACGCUGAAAUCAAGAGUUAGAUGCUCAGCCAACUUAGCCACCCUGGCACCCCUGUCUUGACAUUUUAAGGAAUGAAAUCACAAAUGAAAACAGAGGUAAUUGUAUUGGGACUAUCUGAUUAAUACCUUGUUUAUUAUUAAGCUGAAGAAGAACACAAUAUUUAAUAAUGACAAAAAAGUUAUUUUAUCUAAUAUUGUACUCUCAAUCAAGAUGACAGAACUUUUUUGUUUGUUUGUUUGUUUGUUUUUGGAGAAAUGUCCAAAUUGGAUUAUAUACAAAAACUUUCAGGAACCAUGUGCCAGCAAUGGCUAAACCUUUCAGAGGAAACCCAUCGACUUUCAUUACUUAAAAAAACAAAAAGAACACAAACAAACAAAAAGACAAAAAAGUCAGAUCUCUACACUGUGAUAAUAUGAAGCCAAUUAGAUUGCCUGCAUGCAUUUGUAGGGUAUUUUAUUCUCUGUCUUUUGCAUCAUCUUGCUGAAAGAGAAGUUCUAUGAGUAAUUAACUCUUAAAAUGUUAAGCAAAUGAUCAUUAGUGAGAUGAUAAUCAUUGAAGCUUUAAAGCUAAAUACUUUGUGUUAAACGUGGUGCAAUAGUUACUUUAAUAAUUUUCUACAUUUGCUCCAUUGACAUGAUUGUGUAGCAGAUGGGUUAGACCUACUCUGUAUUCUAUGCUUGUGCUAUUCCCAUUUUCUCAAGAUCCUGAGGAAUUCUUAACUAGGUAAGAAAUUCAUUCACAUUCUUAACUCCACCU